CCUACGUGUGGCAGCAGUGAGGAAUAUUUGUCAAUGGACGAGAGUCUGAACCAGCCAAGUAGCGUGAAGGAUGACUGCUCUAUGGGUUGUAAACUUCUUUCAUAUGGGAAUAAAACGUUCCACGUGUGGCAUUUUUUAUGUACCAUAUGAAUAAGGAUCGGCUAACUCCGUGCCAGCAGCCGCGGUAAUACCGAGGAUCCGAGCUUUAUCCGGAUUUAUUUGGUUUAAAGGUAGCGUAGGUGGAUUGUUAAGUCAGUUGUGAAAGUUUGCGGCGCAACCGUAAAAUUGCAGUUGAAACUGGCAGUCUAGAGUACAGUAGAGGUGGGCGGAAUUCGUGGUGUAGCGGUGAAAGGCUUAGAUAUCACGAAGAACUCCGAUUGCGAAGGCAGUUCACUGGACUGCAACUGACACUGAGGCUCGAAAGUGUGGGUAUCAAACAGGAUUAGAUACCCCGGUAGUC
rnacentral:rRNA from 1 species